GGGGGUGAAAAUGUUGGCCAUCUGCAACAUGUGUGGGUUGUGUGAUAAAAAUCGCUGAGUAAGUAGGUGGCAAGGGUGAGAGAAUAUGAUGGGGUGGAAUGAGAGGGUUUGUGGAAACGGCAAAGAAAGCAGUCCAAGGGUAAAAGGACUGAAGGUAUGAGAGAAUCCAGUGGUCAAGUAACUAAUGAAGAUGGGUAGAAGGAAGAUUUGAAAGAAAGACACACAUUUUAAUGGUCUGGUUACUGUAAAAUCUAAGAAAGGUUGUGAGAAAAGUAUACGGGAAAGAGGAGGAAGAAGGGGAGAGGAAGAGAGAAGGGAGAAAGAGGAGAGAAAAAGGGAGGGAGGGAGGGGGAGAGAGAGGGGGAGGAGGAGGGGGGAGAGAGGGAGAGAGAGAGAGAGAGAGAGAAAGGGGGGGAGGGAGAGGAAAGGAGAAAGAGUGUUUGUGUGCUUGUAUGUAUGAGUGACAUUGAGAGGGAGGGCAGGAGGGAGGAAAAGCCUGAGUGAGUGAGAGGGGGGAGUGUCUAUACGUGGAGAAGGGAGACGGGGAGUUGUGUCAGUGAAGGAAUCCAGUUAGGGGGCUGAGCCAGGGCUAUGCUCUCAGUUUUUAGCGCCAGCAGAGCAGGGCGAAGUAGGGACGAAGAGGAAACCCGCGGAGAAGCAGCUCGGCGCCCAGCCCUCCUUCUCCUCCUCCUCUUCCUCCUCUUCCUCCUCCUCCCGUUGGCUCUGGGGGCUAGUAGCUGCGGCGCUUUCUCCUCUCCACCCUCACUCUCUCCCUCUACACGGCCCGGGCCGAGCAGAAACAGUCCAUUGGCAGAGAGGAUGAAAAUGUUGGCCCGCUGAGAUCCAACGUGGACCAGCCCGCCUUUCAUCCACCCCCACCUCGAAAAUGCAACUUCACCCACUGCUGAGGUUUUCCCCUCUGUUCCAAUGCACGGAAUAGCCCAGCCCAGUUCUCGCUUUACUUACUCACGGGACUAGCAUAUCCUCCCGCUAAAUCGCCCGUUUUAAAUGAGAUUUUACAUUCCAAAGUCAAAGGUAAAACCCUCUCGCCGCCACCUUCCUCCUGUUCCGAUGAUUUAGUGGAGCCGUUGGGAGCUGUAAACAUCAACCGAAAUUAUUCUUCUUACCAUGCUGUAUUCAGUAUUUUAUUUCUUUCCAAGUGAGACUCGAAAGGAAGUUGGAUUGCAUUUUACAGCUCUGGUCGAUAUUAUUACUUGAAAACAAAUGAUACUCAGCAAAUUAUAAGACUAUUCCUGGAGUCUGCUCCCUUGAAUUAUGCCCAUACAGUUGUGAUUGCAGGAGAGAAAAUGCUGAAACAGCACCAUAUUUUCAUCAAAUGUUGCAUUACAGUUUGUCUGAGUUGCCAUAUGUUCACAUAUAUACUGUGAUUACUGGGCAAGGAUAGAAGCUAAAUGUUUAGUGCAUUUUUCUACACUAUUUUGUGGAACAGCUUAGCCACAAAAUAAAAUAAAAACAAAAAAACA
rnacentral:lncRNA from 1 species